rnacentral:tRNA from 1 species
UCCGUGAUAGCUCAGUCGGUAGAGCAAAUGACUGUUAAUCAUUUGGUCCCAGGUUCGAGCCCUGGUCACGGAGCCA